AUUGAACGCUGGCGGCAUGCUUUACACAUGCAAGUCGAACGGUAACAGGUCUUUCGGGAUGCUGACGAGUGGCGAACGGGUGAGUAAUGUAUCGGAACGUGCCCAGUAGUGGGGGAUAACUACUCGAAAGAGUGGCUAAUACCGCAUGAGAUCUCUGGAUGAAAGCGGGGGGACCGUAAGGCCUCGCGCUACUGGAGCGGCCGAUAUCAGAUUAGGUUGUUGGUGAGGUAAAGGCUCACCAAGCCGACGAUCUGUAGCUGGUCUGAGAGGACGACCAGCCACACUGGGACUGAGACACGGCCCAGACUCCUACGGGAGGCAGCAGUGGGGAAUUUUGGACAAUGGGCGCAAGCCUGAUCCAGCAAUGCCGCGUGCAGGACGAAGGCCUCGGUUGUAACUAGCUUUGUACGGUAACGAAAGACC
rnacentral:rRNA from 1 species